CUUUUCAGGAAACAAAUUUGAAGGAGAGAUCCCAAGGUCCAUUGGUCUAUUGAAAGAGCUCCAUGUGCUCAACUUGUCCAACAAUGCUUUCACCGGCCACAUCCCUUCAUCUAUGGGAAACCUGACGGCUCUUGAGUCACUAGACGUUUCCCAAAACCAGCUUUCAGGAGAAAUUCCGCUAGAGCUAGGGGAACUCUCAUUCCUUUCCUACAUGAACUUCUCUCAUAACAAGCUCACUGGUCUAGUACCCGGAAGCACUCAGUUUCGAAGGGUGAAUUGCACUUCCUUUGAGGAUAAUCCGGGACUUUUUGGCCCUUCUCUUGACGAAGUUUGCAGAGAUAUCCACAUGCCAACACCGCAUGAAACACCAGAAUCAGAGGAAGAAGAAGAGGAAGAGGUGUUGAGUUGGAUAGCAGCUGUAAUAGGAGUAAUACCUGGUAUUGCCUUUGGAUGGGUGAUUGGAUACAUACUUUUUUCCUACAAACCAGAGUGGUUCAUCAACCCUUUUGUCCUAAACAAAAGCAGACGCAACCGCACCACAACUCAUUAAAAAGGUAAUUUUCAAGAGUUUUAAAUCAACUUGUUAGCAAACACUGGAAGAAACAAAAAUAUUAUAGUCAAAUCACCUGAAUAAGCCUUCUUCUUCUUUUUUUGUACAGAUCUUUUAUAGCCUGCCUGAGGAAUCUGAAAGAAGAAAUACAAAGGAACCACUAUGUCUAUCCGUAUCAAAUAAGAUUUGGGGUAUCGUUUCUGGUUUUGCUUGGUGUUUUUCUCAUUACUCUGCUUUUUUACUUUUUUUAGCAAACUUCUUUGUUCCUCUGGUACUGUUUCCGUUUUAGCUUGGUGUGUUUUUUCUCUAUCUCUCUUUUUUACGUUUUAGCAAACUUCUUUGUUUCUCUGUAAUUGAACAACAACUAUGUUUCUUACGCUGAAAAUUACAAGCACAAAGACAUGCAUUUUUCCCCUCUUCAGUAUCUAAAACAUCAACUGUGUAGACUUGAGAUGAGGAAUAAACAGAUGAUCCAGAUAAAAGCUAUAAUCAACACAGGGUUUAGAAAAGGAUGUACAUAUUAUAUAUGGAUAUUUCGAUUGUUCAUAUCAAUGAGACACAUUAAUUCAUAGAAACUAUAGACUUUGCAAAUAUAAUUAUCAAGAUUCCAUUUUGUGUAUAUACAAAGUUCAAAUGGUUUUAAGCUUAUGAUUUUCGAAUGUGACAAUACAAAAAAAAAAAAAAAAAGUUUGCGUUGAUUUAUCUUGUGAUUGGUAAUAUUCUCAUUGAUAAUGAAUGAUGAGUAGAAGAGGAAGAGAAAUGGCUAGUAAACGGGUCUUGUUUUCUCCAUGUCCACACUUCCUUGUUCCUAAUUCUUUUUUUUUUUUUGAAUGAAUGUAAAAUUUUAUUCAAUCAAAACUUUGUACAUCAAGUGCUUCUGUUGUGUUUGUAAGAAACUUCUAUACUCUAGAUUCUAUGGAAAAAAAACCCCUUCAUGGUGGUCUCUCUCUUGUUGCAAACCAAGUGGUCAAGCUCUCCUCAAGAUACUUUUGCCCCAGCUCCUUGACUGAGAGUAGCUUGAGUCUGAUUGUUUUAUCUACAAACUUGGUGAUGACAUUCACAGUUUGUGGCUGUUCUCCAUGUCUACGGGCAUUUAGCUCUCUCCACAGCGCAUGUACCGUAGCUUGAAAGGUGUAGCGGAUAAGGAACUUCUUCGUCGGUGGCAGGCUUGUACGUUGGAGAUGAUCUCUACAACGUCAUUCCAAGAUUUGUAGAGAAUCCCACCAGCCAGUGAUUUCCAGAUUUGUCUUGAGUAGUUGCAGCUGAAGAAGAGAUGGUGGCAGGUUUCAUCAGCUGCAUCACAGAGCACACAGGCUGUGUUUGCUGUAGCGUUCCACCGGUUUAUCCUAUCACAUGUCUCCAUUCCUAAGCGCUUCUAAUUCAUUCUCAAUCUCAUUCAGACGGCUCUCACGGUGUCGUCUUCUUCGGUGCUUACUCAGGACAUCUGCAACAACAGCCUUAUCAGAUAUGCCCAGAGCAAUGCACCCUCGUUCUCCUAUCACAUCCUUCAAGCAGCCAAGCUUCGACCACGAGUCAUACCAGAAGGAGGUUUCUCUUCCAUUCCUCACUUCUCUUCUGAAAAACUGUUUCGCAAGAUCGCCUAGUUUCAGUAAUUUAUGCCAUACCCAUGAUUUGAGUUCAUACUCACUGACCAGAACGAUCCCUUUCGAAUCAGAUAACACUGCACCCACCGGACCCAAAGCGAAUUUCGAGAGGACAGAAUUCUCCAUAUUAGUUUUAAGGCGUGAACUGUGUUUACCUCCUUAAGAGGUCUCAGACUCAGUCCUCCUUCUUGUUUGUAAUUCAACCUUUGAUUGUUUGAUUAAAUAUGUAUAUUCUUAAAUUAACAAUAACCAAAUAUAUAUAUAUACUCAACUAAAAUUUGGGUUUAACGAUCAUUGUCCAUUUUAUAAGAAAAUUCCUCUUGGAUCUUUCUUUUUAUAUUUUUCUCGACUGACUUUUUAAUCGAAUCCAAGUCUUGCUUCUCUUUGUUUUGGUGUCCACGAUCUCAAAAAAGAAACAGCCAACUGAUUGGUCACUUUCACAAUCCCUCUGGUACGUUAUCCUUUGAUUUUUCAACAUUAUACUUAAAGCUCAAUACCAAAAUCUCAAAGAUAAGCCACUACAUGAUCAUGAUGUGUGUGACCUACGAGCUUGGACUCGAACCCACGAGCCAAUCAUGUAAGUAGCAAUGAAAAGAUCAAGCCAACACAAAUGAUGAAUAGGCCCAUGCCUUGCCCCCAUUCUGUUCCCUUCUUUAUUAAUCUACAGAAACAAAAUCUUCUUCAGAAGAAGAUGCGUGAGCUUUCAACACGAUAAAGAUUGAUGCAAAGUCAUAUAAGGAAACAGCCAAAUCAAUAGCUUGGUGGGUUUGGUCUUCCAAAAGUAAAUUAUGGAAGAACAUGAAUGUCUCUGAUGUACAUUGUCCUGGAAAGAGAACUCUGAGACCUGAUUACGCAAAAGACUAAUUGCUGAUCACAAAAAAAGGAGAAGAGAACGCUAUUUGGAACUGCAGGCAUUGAUACACAAACCAUAAUACAUUAAACACUUGACAAAAGUACAUGCUGAUAUGUCUGUCAGAUUACUACAAGAGUUUCUUUCACCAAUCUCCUUUGCUACCAAUGUACCCUAAAUAAGAUAAGUAAACACAAAAAAAAAAAAGCAUUGCUCUAACAUGAAACCUAGUGAGUAAGAAUAAUAACAGUUUCUCCAAUCUCCAUGACCUCACAGAUCCAACCUGAUACAGAUAUUCAAGUGGUGCGGGACACGUCAUCAGCCACGUCAGAAGAGAGAGAGGACGCAAGAAGAAGUUUGUUACGAUUUCAAUUAAAAAGAGAGGGACGCUUUCAUUUUCAUUCAUUGGAGUAGUAUGAACAUUUUCUUUUCUUUUCUUUUCUACUUUCCUGGGAAAUCCAGUGAUUGAGUCGCUAGUCUGACUAGUUGCUUAACAUUGUAUUUCUUGAAUCGGUGUUUCCUGAACAUUGGAUUCUUCUUUCCUAUUCAUAAAUACAAAUACAAAUUAUUCUAUCAAAGGUAUCAGAGCUUCGACGCUUCUCGGCGAUGGCGGAAACACGAGCUCAAACUAUGAUGAAGGAAGCAACAGCUCGCGGUAUAGAAGAAAGCUUGGGAUCGCGAAUCGAUCACAUGCUGGAGAGAACACAUCAAUUAGAGGUUACGGUGGCGGAUCAGAAUACGAAGAUGGAUAAGAAUAUCGCAGAUAUGUUCGAAGCGAUUCGCUUGAUCCAAGGGAGCAAACAUCAGGCGUCGACAAGUAAUGAACAAAACACUGGUAGAGGAUCGCCGGUAGUUUCUCAUACUCCGAUCCUUCCACACGGUUCAAACGAGAUGGCGAGAGGCAGAUCUGGUUUUCCGUACAAUUACGCAGGUAUCACUCGUAUGGCGAAAUUGGAUUUUCCCAGAUUUGAUGGUGAACGCUUGAAGGAAUGGUUAUCUAAAGUAGAACAGCUAUUUGUGAUGGAUAAUACACCUGAGGAGUUGAAAGUGGGUUUAGCAUCGAUACAUUUCGAUGGUCUAGCCUCUACUUGGCAUCAGGCGGUGAUUCAAUCUGAGAUAAGUCAUGAUAUCCUUCGGGAUUGGCCGUUCUACAAGGAGUUGUUGAAAGAGAGAUUUGAGGAAGUUUUAGAUGAUCCUAUUGCAGAGUUGAAAGCAUUGCAGGAAACUGAUGGUAUUGUUGACUAUCAUGGGAAGUUUGAGCUUAUCAGAACGAGAGUCAAGCUUUCUGAGGACUACUUAGUCAGUGCAUAUCUUGCAGGACUGAGAGUUGAUACGCAAAUGCACAUCAGGAUGUUUCAACCACAAACAGUCCGUCAAUGCUUAAUGUUGGGUCGUCUAUAUGAAAAGGCACAUCCAAAGAAGGUCGUUUCUCAAGGGUGGGUGCCUCAGAAGGGUGGAAUGCAGAGUAGAGGGUUAUUACCAGUAAAGAAGGAUACAGAAGCAAAAAUGGAAUUUCAGAAAGUAGCAGAUAAACUUCCUGAUAAGCCAAGACCGUUUCUCUCACAAGAGGAAAUGAGCAAGAGGAGAGCUGCCGGUCUUUGCUACUUCUGUGAUGAGAAAUAUUCACCAGGCCACUACUUGAAACAUAAAAAAACACAACUGUUUAUGCUUGAGUGUGAGGAAGAGGAGGAAGUGUUGCAGAAUGAAGUGGAGUUGAGUGACGAAGUAGAAUCAGAGGUUGCUCAUAUCUCUGUUAAUGCAGUAGCAGGCAUUUCUGAUUAUCAAACGAUGAGAGUGAAAGGAAUUCAUGGAAAACGUUCAUUAUUCAUUCUCAUUGACUCUGGUUCAACUCAUAAUUUCAUGGAUGCAUUGGUAGCUGAGAAAUUGGGUUGUGAGUUGAAGCCAACUGGUAUUUCAAGAGUUGCAGUGGCUGAUGGUAGGAAGUUGGGAGUGAGUAAUAAGAUUGAUGACUUUCACUGGAAUUUUCAGAGUAUCUCUUUCAAAGCUGAUUUUAUGGUCAUACCUUUGGGAGGUUGUGAUAUGGUUCUUGGAGUUCAGUGGUUACAACAAUGGGGACCUAUCACGUGGGACUUUCAGAAUCUGACAAUGCAGUUUAAGAUGGGGAGGAAGGGCGUUUUGUUACAUGGGAUUAAAGAUGGUUCUGUUCGAGAAGUGAAGUCAGCUAAGCUGAACAGAUUGAGAGAAUCCGAGGUUCAGUUAGCAAUGAUAUCGGUGCAGCGAAUUGAUACUGAAUUACAAGCGUCUGCAUACACUAUGGAGAUGCAGAAUACCAACACAGAGAAAUUAUAUCCUGGUAUUUCAAACGCUUUACAAGAGUUUGAAGAUAUUUUUGAGGAACCAAAAGCUCUACCUCCUUUUCGCAAGAAUCAUGACCAUAAGAUACCACUGCUGGAAGGGUCUAAUCCGAUUAAUCAGCGGCCAUACCGGUAUGCAGUGUAUCAAAAAAAUGAAAUAGACAAGCUGGUUCAAGAGUUAUUGGAUGCAGGGACUAUUCAACCUAGUUCAAGCUCAUAUGCUUCUCCUGUGGUUUUGGUUAAGAAGAAGGAUGGGUCUUGGAGGUUAUGUGUUGAUUACCGUGGCCUGAAUGGGAUGACAGUGAAGGAUCGUUUUCCUAUUCCGUUAAUAGCAGAUUUAAUGGAUGAACUGGGAGGAUCAAAAGUGUAUUCCAAGAUUGACUUACGUGCAGGCUACCAUCAAGUGAGGAUGAACACAGAUGAUAUUCAUAAAACUGCUUUUAAAACUCACAGUGGCCAUUAUGAAUAUCUGGUGAUGCCUUUUGGUCUCACAAAUGCACCUGCUACAUUCCAAGGUCUAAUGAACACAGUGUUUAAAAGUCUCUUAAGGAAGUGUGUUUUGAUCUUCUUUGAUGAUAUAUUGGUGUAUAGUUCAUCAAUGGAAGAGCAUGAAAAGCAUUUGAAAAGCGUUUUUGCAUUAAUGAGAAGUAACAAGCUCUUUGCGAAGAUGAGUAAAUGCGCCUUUGCCACUGACAGAGUUGAGUAUUUGGGGCAUUACAUACAGGCAGAAGGAAUUUCAACUGAUCCUAAUAAGAUCAAGGCUGUUGCAGAGUGGGCUAUUCCGGUAUCUUUGAAGCAGUUACGGGGGUUUCUCGGUCUAGCAGGGUAUUACAGAAGCUAUGUCAAGAGUUUUGGUAUUAUUGCUAGACCCUUAACAGCUUUGACCAAGAAGGAUUGUUUUGGAUGGUCGGAAGAAGCAACAGAAGCUUUCAAUAAUUUGAAACGAGCUCUGUGCGAAGCUCCAGUGUUAGCGCUGCCUCGUUUUGACUUACCCUUCGUUGUUGAAACUGAUGCGUGUGGAGAGGGUAUAGGUGCGGUGCUAAUGCAAAAAGGCCACCCUAUUGCUUACAUCAGUCGUCAUCUUAAGGGUAAGCAACUGCAUCUUUCUAUCUAUGAGAAAGAACUUUUGGCAGUGGUGUUUGCAGUUCAAAAAUGGCGUCAUUAUCUUCUUACUGGUCAUUUUAUAAUCAAAACGGAUCAGCGUAGUUUGAAGUACUUGCUUGAACAGAGAUUGAAUACUCCUAUUCAGCAACAAUGGCUGCCAAAACUCUUGGAAUUUGACUAUGAGAUCCAGUAUAAACAGGGUAAAGAGAACCUUGUUGCUGAUGCUUUAUCAAGGAAGGAAGGUUCUGAAGUGUUGCACAUGGCAAUGACUGUUUUGGAGUGUGAUUUGAUGUUACAGAUUCAACAAAAUUAUGAUUCUGAUCCAACAACAAAGGAGAUUAUUGAAGCGUUGAAGUUGAGUUCGAGAAGUAAAAAACACUUUACAUGGUCUCAAGAGAUAUUAAGGAGGAAGAGUAAGCUGGUUGUGCCGAAUAAUACUAUUCUGCGUAACAAGAUCUUAGAUUGGAUGCAUAGUUCUUGCGGUGGAGGUCAUUCCGGACGUGAAGUUACGAGACAGAGAGUGAAAGGUCUGUUUUAUUGGAAAGGCAUGACCACAGAUAUUCAAGCUUUCAUACGCAGCUGUGAGGUUUGUCAAAGAUGCAAGUAUGACACUGCAGCUUAUCCUGGUCUGAUCCAACCUUUACCAAUUCCUGAGUUGAUUUGGACAGACAUUUCCAUGGAUUUUAUCGAUGGAUUACCUUCUUCUGCGGGUAAAACAGUGAUUUUGGUGGUGGUUGACAGGUUAUCUAAGGCCGCUCACUUCAUUGCUCUCUCUCAUCCGUAUACUGCAGCAUCAGUGGCUCAAGCUUUUCUCAACAAUGUGUUCAAGUUACACGGCUUCCCAAGAUCUAUUGUCAGCGAUCGUGAUGCAGUUUUCUUAAGUGAUUUUUGGAAAGAGCUGUUUGCUUUGCAGGGUGUAGCACUGAAUUACUCAAGUGCGUACCAUCCUCAGAGUGAUGGACAAUCUGAGGUGGUUAAUCGCUGCUUGGAGACAUAUUUGAGGUGCAUGUGUAGUGAUGAACCACAUCUUUGGAGUCGGUGGUUGCCUCUAGCUGAGUUUUGGUACAACACGAACUAUCACACAGCUAUUCAGAUGUCUCCUUUUGAAGCUGUGUAUGGUCAAGCUCCUCCACAACACUUACCUUAUCUACCUGGAGAGACUAAAGUGGCAGUGGUAGCUCGGUCGUUGGAAGAAAGGGAGAAGAUGUUAUUGGUCUUGAAGUUUCAUCUCUUGAGAGCUCAGCAUCGUAUGCAACAGGUUGCUAAUGAUCAUCGCACUGACAGGUCUUUCAAUGUUGGUGAUUAUGUCUUUGUGAAGUUGCAACCUUACAGGCAAAACUCCGUAGUUCACCGAAGUAAUCAGAAGCUAGCACCAAAAUAUUAUGGGCCUUAUGAGAUCAUUGAUCGUUGUGGGAAGGUUGCUUACAAGUUGAGGCUUCCGGAGUCUUCUCAAGUCCAUCCGGUUUUUCAUGUUUCACAACUUAAGAUAGUGGUGGGGGAUGUCCAUACUUCAACGGCUUUGCCUUCUCUUAACAAUGAGUUGUUGGUUAAGGAACCGGAGUUUAUCAUUGAGAGGAAAAUGGUUAAAAGGCAGAACAAACCUGCAACAAUGGAUUUGGUGAAAUGGAAGAAUAGACCUGCAGAGGAUUCAACGUGGGAGCUUUUGUAUGAUCUGGAGAAGCGCUUUCCUGAUACAAACCUUGUGGACAAGGUUGUCUAAACAGGGAGGAUUUGAUACAGAUAUUCAAGUGGUGCGGGACACGUCAUCAGCCACGUCAGAAGAGAGAGAGGACGCAAGAAGAAGUUUGUUACGAUUUCAAUUAAAAAGAGAGGGACGCUUUCAUUUUCAUUCAUUGGAGUAGUAUGAACAUUUUCUUUUCUUUUCUUUUCUACUUUCCUGGGAAAUCCAGUGAUUGAGUCGCUAGUCUGACUAGUUGCUUAACAUUGUAUUUCUUGAAUCGGUGUUUCCUGAACAUUGGAUUCUUCUUUCCUAUUCAUAAAUACAAAUACAAAUUAUUCUAUCACAACCACUGCUCGUUGCUCUACCAGAGUAUAGCUUCUCCACAAAUCUAAUCCUACAACUUCUUCCCUGUACAACAACAACACAAUUCAACUCAAUUGAGUAGAUGCUCAAAGAUAUGGUUCCAAAUCAACAAUCUGAAGCCUCAGAAGCUUAAAGAUUCAAUCUUUACAAGCACAUAAAAAUGAAGCUUCAAAAUCGUUCUCGCCAGCUCUCUACACGACGAUCCUUCACACGGAUAUUGGCUAAAUCUCCUAAAUGACUUUAAAAGCUUUAGAACAAGCAAAAGUCACAAAAGUCUAGUUGGCUAAAUAUUGGCUCUUUUUGAUUACUUCCGUUGUACAAAUCUCAUUUUUUUGUUCUCAGUAUUUCGUUAUUUCACGAGCUACUUAAGUACUAACUUCACAUUCGAUUGAGUUUGUUCUCAGAAUAUUUUUUGGAUAUGGGACGGUUCUAUAUAGUUUAUGGCUGUGAGGGUUGGCGUGGGGAUUGUAUUUGCCGAAGUUCAAAAGACUUCCCACUCCUUUUAGUUCCCGUCUUUACUUUUCGACUCAAGACUGGCUUACGUUUUCUUCUUGUAAAGAAGGUUCUCUCAGACUUUUCUCUUGGUCUUCUCAAAAGCAAGUACACGAGCUGACCUACACGGUAAACUGGUAGUCUGAUAGACCCGUAUCAAUCAAUGAGGAGGCAACUCUGCUUUCUGCAUUCAAGCAUACUAUUAAAUAUGCCAUGAGAAAUAUCCACACAUGAACUUAAUAUCGAUUAGGAAAAUUGUAUCGCAAAUGUAAACCUAAGUAAAUAAGUCUUUAGUAAGUACUUGUUGGUUGGUUUGAAAUUUGUUUGAAACUUCUCGUAAUUAAUGCAAGGGACCGACCAAUCUGUGUGGAAAUAGAUUAGUGAACACAAAAAAUUGAAGUUCAUGUGUAUGCUGAGCGUUUGGCUGAGGAAGGUAAAGCUACCUGCAAUGAGAUGCUUUCCACUAAGGAGUCUGCUCUGAUGUAUGCUGAGCGUUUGGCAGAGCUUGCUCCCGGAUGGGUAUAUGAGACUGCACAACCUCCUAAUUUUCAUACAGCUCAGAAUAAGUAUUACUUCUUUUGUCUGUUUGAUUAUUAUAAGAAAUUGCCAUUUCUUUGUUGUUAUUUUCCUUGAUGCGUUUUACCUUCAGAUGGUGGUCACUUGUUGAGAAGUCAUGGGGAAUAGUCCAAACAUAUCCACAAAUCUUGCCUUUUUACUCGGAUUUCAAUCAGGUAAUCUGAGAUUGAUCUAGUCUUUCUUCCUAUCAGUUAUCUGAUGCUCCAUGGUACAACAUAUCUUGCCAAAGUCUCCAGGUUCAACCAUCUUAUAGUCAUUCAUUGUACAUAUAAUAUUAUCUUCUCAUCUGAUUGUUGUGUUAUUCACGUCAGCCACUCCUAGAGUUCAAGGAAGACAAGUUCUAAACUUGGACUCCUGCUUCGUUUCUCAUCCCCAUCACACGAAACUAAAUCAAUACUUGUGGCCCCACAAGAACCAAUCCCCAUAUUAGUAGAUCACAUGUUCUUGAAGUGCCUUGUCAUGGAUGGACACACACUGAUUGAAAUCUUUGCCUUUUGCUACGGACCAUAGAACUCGACAAAGACAUCAGAGUACGUUGCAUUGCUCGGUCACAUCUCAAUCAAAGAUCAUGUUCAGCUCCUCCAGCAAAACUUCGUUUCCUUACAUCAUGGGUCAUCGAGGCUCAUAACAUACAGCUUGUACCGUGUAAUUCCGGUUCUAAGAUCCUCAGGGUUAAGCUAGAAUGGAGACAGAAACAGCGUGAAGACUCUGUUCUCCCAGUGUACAAUGUGUAUGCAGAGAGUGUGAAGUCAACUGAUGUACUAAGAUCGAGGAAGGUUUUGGAGAAACCAAGAAGCGAGAGAGUGUUCCUCGGAAUCUCUCACGUACCAGCCUACUACGUUUCGGAACUGGUGCUAGAUUCGGACGUGAAAGGAGUCAGCUUCGUGGUUCAAUCCUGUGGUGAAGAUGGUUCAUGGAUGAAGGUAGAUGAUUCCCCUAACCUUCUUGUGGACUUGGAAGGUCUCUCGUAGGUUGCUUGAAACUAUGUAUGAAACGAUUAAUAAUGUAUAUUACAAAAAUACAUUAAUAUAGAAAGUGGGGAAAAACAUAAUAAAAAAAUCUGAACUAGUCUUACCAACUAGUCUCCUCCAUAUGUGAACUAGUCUCUUUUCUGUAUAUUUUAUCGAAUGAAAGUGGGAUAAUUAUCACCAAACUUGUUAUUAUGGACUGAGAAAGAAAAAAUGCGGAAACUGAUUGGGUCAUCAACAUUUAUUUUCGGGCAAUUCUCUCAGAUAACUAUUUUUAAGUUUUUAUCAUAAAAAUAGCCCUCAAAAAAUAAAAUGACAAAAAAAAAUUUAUUUUGAAUUUUUUACAUUUAUUUUUUAUCCUUUUUAAACUUGAAAUCUUAUCCCAAAAUCUCACAUUUUAGCUCUAAACCCUAAGUCUAGAUUAAUUAACUUUAGGGAUAUAAAUACAUAUUUAACUUUUAAUAAAAUCUCUUUCGAUCAUUUUCCAUCUUGAUAACUAUUUUUAUGAAUUAAAAAGGCUAUUCGAUAGAAUUUCGCUUCAUAUAUUGAAGAAGAAAGAAAAAUCGACCGAGUAAAAUCGGGGAAAAUGCAUAUUUCAACCUGAACAUUACUCAUUGUGUUUAUUCUUACCUGAACUUUGUAAAAGUGCGUAUUUCAUACCGAACUACAUAAAAGCUCAAAAAUACUACAUGAAUUUUAAACGUUAUGCCUUUUUCUUUGCGAAGUUUACAGUAGUGCAUAUAUCAUACUGAACUAAACAAAAAUUCAAAAAUACUACAUGUACUCUUAAAAUCGUGCUAUACUGACCAUCAAAGGUGUUAUUCAACAAUUAAUUUAUCAAACGACGUUGUUUUUAAUAAAUUCUGUAAAUUUUUAAUUUAACAAUACUAUAUUUUUAAACACCUUAAAAAUAUUACAUAAACUCUCAAAAUCGUGUUUACAUAUUAAUUUUUAAUUUUACAAAAUUUAACCAAAAUGACGUCAUUUUGAUAAAUUAACGGAUGACUAACAUCUUUGAUUGUCAAUCUAUAUAUAAACACGAUUUUGAAAGUUUAUGUAGUAUUUUCAAAUUUUAAAUUUUACAGAAUUUAUCAAAAACAAAAUCUUUUGCCUCUGAUCUAAAGGCAAACCAACACAAAAUUCUAAAAUUUUACAAUAUAGUUCAAUUUUUAGUAAUACUAUAAAGUAAAUAUUUAAAUUAAUAAUAAUUGGUCUAAAUUUAUAAAAUAUUUUUAAAGUUAAAUUAAAACAUAAAUGAUUAUACAUUUUUUUAUAAAACUGGAACAAUAAAACUUUGAUAAUAUUUAUUUGAUUAAAAUAAAACUUAAAUAUCAGUUACUGUUUAAAAAUUUAUACAAUAAAUUUACAUUGGUCUAGUAAUUAAUCUGAUUUUACUUGUCCACCAGUAUGAGAAUUUGAACCUUCCAAAAAUUAAUUUUUAAUUUUACAGAAUAUAUUCAAAAUGACGUCAUUUAAUAAAUUAACGGAUGACUAAUAUUUUUGACGUCAAUAUAUAUAAACACGAUUUUGUGAGUUUAUACAGUAUUUAAAUUUUACAUUUUACAUAAUUUAUCAAAAACGACGUCGUUUGAUAGAUUAAUGGUUGAAUAACACCUUUGACGAUUAAUAUAUAUAUAUUAGCACAAUUUUGAGAAUUUAUGUAGUGUUUUUGAAUUUUUUGUUUAGUUCAGUAUGAAAUAUGCACUACUAUAAAUUUCAGAAAGGAAAAAGUACAACACUUAAAGUUUAUAUAGUAUUUUAAAGUUUUAUGUAAUUCGGUAUGGAAUACCACCACUUCAAAGUUCGGGAGAAAAUAAGCACGACGGGUAAAGUUCAGGUUGAAAUAAACAUUUUUCCCAAUGAUUCAGUCACAUUCACAAUUAAUUUUACAAAAAAAUUCCAAAAUGACGUCAUUUUGAUAAAUUAAUGGAUGACUAACAACUUUGAUUGUCAAUAUAUAUAUAAGCACGAUUUUAAGAGUUCAUGUAGUAUUUUUGAAUUUUUUUGUUAGUUCAAUAUGAAAGAUGCACUACUUUAAAGUUCGUGAAGAAAAAUACACAACACUUAAAGUUCAUGUAGUAUUUUUUGAAUUUUUAUGUAGUUCGGUAUGAAAUAGACAUUAUUACAAAGUUCAGGUAGGAAUAAGUACGAUGGUUAAAAUUCACGUUGAAAUAUGCACUUUUCCCGAGUAGACGAUCUCCCCUGAGGAAUAUUAUUAGUUGAAGAAUGUACUCGCUAUGAUAUGGGGCCAUAUGGCUCGAUAGUGAUUACAUUCAUGACGAAAAAUUAAUUCUUCUGUCAUGAAGAAUGUUCUCGUCCAGCUAGCUUGAUAUUUUUGCUCAUUUUGAUUGAUUCUUAGUGAAGAGUUGAUCCUUUUGUCAUGUUUGCAUAUAUUUCUCAUUUUCGAAGUCAUGAGGAAUAAACCAAAAAUAAAAAUAAGACCACUGGCCGUUGAUUUUUCUUGGAAAGGUUGAUGUUUGUUUUCUUCUUAUUAGUAUAAGAGAUUCAUUCUUAUUUUGAAAUUCUAUCAAAAUUAAACUAGUGUAGCAGUUAAAUUAGUUUUUUUUUUCUUAAAGCUAGGAAUGUCAUAAUGUCAUAAAAUCUUGACUUUUUUAAAUUAUAAGUAAAAAAGAUAAAACAUUCAUUUACUAUCAAAUCGAAAGACUAUAAUAUAUGCAAUGCAUGGGUCUUAGUAUAUGCAAUAUGCAUGGGUCUCGUAAACAUUAGUUUGAAUCCAAAUAUAAACCUAAGCAAAAUAAGACUUCAUAAUUAACGUCUUCUUUGGUGUAGACAAUUUUUUUUUUUUGAAAAUUCAUGUAAUUAGUGUAGGGGACCAAUAUGUGUGGAAAUUUGACUAUCCGACACAAAGACUUUGCUUUCGACGUGAUGAAUAUUGGAUUUAUCUCUGUGGAUAUUUUCUGUGUGGAAUAAAAACGAAGUCUAUUAUUGCGCUAUAAAGAGAUGGGCAUGGAAGCAUGUUACUCAUCACCAAUUUCCCUUUUCUUUUCAAAGUUAAAUAAGCUUAAAGAAGAAUGAAAGGCUUUUGGAACAUAACGAGUACCUUUUCUCUUACUCUUUCUAUACUUUUCCUAUUCGGCUACAGUUAUGAGGACGUGUCUGCGGUUCCCACUAGGCACUUGUGUCGUCCGGAACAAAGGGAUGCACUUCUCCAAUUCAAGAACGAGUUUGAGGUUCUAAACUUUUCCUUAACUUACUAUUAUUGUAUGUAUAAAGGUAUUAAACCUCAUGGGAAAACAGAGUCAUGGAUGAAUAACAGCGACUGCUGUAAUUGGGAGGGUAUAACGUGCAACCCCAAUUCCGGUGAAGUGAUUGGGAUAGACCUUAGUUGCAGCUACCUACGUGGCAGGUUUCAUUCUAGUAGCAGUCUUCAAAACCUUCAUUCUCUAACCACUCUAGUCCUUUCAAAUAAUGAAUUUAGUGGUCCAAUCAUGUCUUUAAUUGGAAACCUUUCUCAUCUCACCUCUGUGGACCUUUCGCGAAAUGGUUUCAGCGAGUUCAUUCCUUCUUCGAUAGUAGAUAUUUAUUAUCUCAACUUUCUCGAUCUUUCAUCUAAUCGUUUUUCUGGUCAGAUUCCAUCUUCUAUUGGAAAUCUUUCUCAUCUCACCUAUCUCGAUCUUUCAUAUAAUAGUUUUCCUGGUCAGAUUCCAUCUUGGAUUGGAAAUCUUUCUCAUCUCACCAAUCUUGACCUUCGUUCUAAUCAGAUUUUGGGUCAGAUUCCAACUUGGAUUGGAAAUCUUUCUCAUCUCACCAAUCUUGACCUUCGUUCGAAUCAGAUUUCGGGUCGGAUUCCAUCUUCGAUUGGAAAUCUUUAUAACCUCGCUUAUCUUGACCUUUUUGGGAAUGAUAUUGUUGGAGAAAUCCCAUCUUCUUUUGGCAAUCUAAACCAGCUGACCACCUUAGAUGCUAGUCUCAAUAGGCUCAAUGGAAGCCUUCCCAUUGCACUACUGAAUUUGACAAAGUUGUCAUAUUUAGGACUCUAUUACAAUCAGUUCACAGGCACAAUUCCUCAUAACAUCACUUCACUAUCCAAAUGAUUCAGUCACAUUCACAAUUAAUUUUACAAAAAAAUUCCAAAAUGAAGUCAUUUUGAUAAAUUAACAGAUGACUAACAACUUUGAUUGUCAAUAUAUAUAAGCACGAUUUUGAGAGUUCAUGUAGUAUUUUUGAAUUUUUGUUUAGUUCAAUAUGAAAUAUGCACUACUGUAAAGUUCGUGAAGGAAACACAACGCUUAAAGUUCAUGUAGUAUUUUUUGAAUUUUUAUGUAGUUCGGUAUGAAAUAUGCAUUAUUACAAAGUUCAGGUAGGAAUAAGUAUGAUGGUUAAAAUUCACGUUGAAAUAGGCACUUUUCCCGAGUAGACAAUCUCGCCCUGAGGAAUAUUAUUAGACCAACCGCAACGGAGGCACGUUGGGAGUCCUUAGCCGCUAAACCGAUGUAUUAUGCAAUUUUAUAAUAAUAUUUAGGUUAAGAUAACCAAGGAUGAGUCCGUAGAUAAGGAGUCGAAGGACUUGAUCCUUGUGCACGUGGCGGAGGGUGAUAGGGCUGGGUCGCAUAUGUGUUUUGUUUUGAAAAAAAAAAAUCAUUCAACCGAAGCCGAGGAAAAAAAAAACAAAGCUCUCGACGAAAAGGCGAUAUCGUUGUGGUUCCUCAAUCGUGUUCUUCCACGAAGAUCCAAGGUAAAUCGUUGUCUUCUGUGGUCGAUUUAAUGAUUAAACUAGGUUUUAUGAUGUUAUCGUCUCAAUUUAGGGUUCGUUUUCCGUUUCAAUCGAUUUGGGGAUACUUUCGAUUUAGGGUUUCAAAAUUUUUUUGGGUUUUCAAUUGAUUUCCGAUUCUUUUGGCUUCAACUUAUUCAAAACGUUCUCGGUUUCAAUCUAAGGGAUCUUCGUAUUUGUUCUUAAACAUGUUUCGAUUUCGGUUUCGAAAUACCAAUUUGUUUUCAAUCGAUUUGAACGUCUAUUUGUUUUCUUAUUACGGUUUAUAUGUGUUUGGUUUUUAGUUUGCGUAUCUGUAUGGUUUGGUUAUUCUUAUCUUGUUGUCUGUUAAACUCGAAAACUCAAUCUUGGAUGCCCUCUGUAGUGUUGCCUAUCUUGUUUUAUUAGUUCUCGUUCUCGUUAUUCUGUUCUGUUGCUCUGUAGUCUUAUUGCUCUUUAAUAAUCCUUCUUCUUUGCUUAUAAAUUAUCUAUUUUUUUCAGGUCAACCAACCAUGGGACAAGACUAUAGCUACAGCCAGCCUUCUUCAUCUUCGGAGUUUGACAUGACCUCCCUACUCUUAGCAGAAGCUGAAGCCUACGCGGAUGAAGCUGAGAGUAGCUACACAAUUGAAGAGCCGGUUCAGUACCCACUGCAACCUGAGGCAGAUGAAGGCAUCCCGACGACAUGCUAUUGUGGUGCUGAGCCAGUUGUUGAAACUUCGUACACUCCUAGAGAUCCAGGCAGAAGGUACUUCUCGUGCGUCAACGUUGACGAUGGAGACUGUCACAUUUGGAAGUGGUGGGAUGUGGCGAUCAUGGAGGAGAUGCGUGACGUUCAGAGAAAAAUCAGGCUUCUCAAGGAUCAAUUCUUUGAGACUGACCAGAAGGUGGCAAAGCUAGAGAAGACCGUUGGUUUGUUACGUAAGAAGAAUUCAGGGGUUGCAAAGGGAGUUUGUCUACUGGUCAUGGUAAUAACGGUCAUGAUUUUGUGCUGGUAAGUUACUAUCCUUAGUUUAGGUAAUUUAUUUGAAUAAAAAAUACUUGUAACUCUUUUCUGUUAUGUGUUUUCAGGAAGAGCUUUGGAGGAUUUAAGCCACAACGUCUCAACUCGAGAUUGUCUUGCCAGGUACGAUCUUGCUGCUGCUUAAUAAAAACCAGGAUUUGGUCGGGAGCAUUGACUGUAUGCAUUGGGAGUGGAAAAAUUGCCCAACCGCUUGGAAAGGACAGUACGCACGUGGAUCAUCAAAACCGACAAUUGUCCUAGAGGCUGUAGCUUCGCAAGAUUUUUGGAUCUGGCACACCUUUUUUGGUCAUCCAGGUACAUUAAAUGAUAUUAAUGUCCUCGAUCGGUCUCCUGUAUUUGAUGAUAUUUUAGAAGGUCGAGCUCCCAGGUUAAGGUAUGUGGUCAACGGACACAUGUAUAAGUUGGCAUACUACCUCACAGACUGUAUAUAUCCCAAAUGGUCAACAUUUAUCCAAUCUAUCACACUCCCUCAAUCUCCGAAACAAGAGUUAUUUGCUAAAGUGCAAGAAGCAGCCCGAAAAGAUGUGGAGCGGGCUUUUAGAGUAUUGCAAGCUUGAUUUGUGAUUGUGAAAAACCCGGUUCGUACAUUGGACAAAGAAAAGAUAAGGAAGAUUAUGAGAGCGUGUAUCAUACUACACAAUAUGAUAGUUGAAAAUGAACGAGAUGGUUACAGCCGGUACGAUGCAGAAGAAUUUGAAGAAGGAGACGUCACCAGAAGUUCAGAGGUCGAAACCAAGAGGCCUACAAAUAUGAAUAAUUUGUUUCCCAAUCGGAAUGAUCUUCGUGAUAGGCAUAUGCAUGAACGAUUGAAGAAUGAUUUAAUCAAAAAUAUUUAGAACAAAUUUGGUGAUGAAGAUUAAUAAUUUGUGUAUCUUUUCCUUUCAUCAUUGUAUCUUUAUUUUUAGUUAUGCAAUUAACAAAAUUUCAAUUUCAAUUUAAUUUUUUUUUUAUUAUUGCUAAGGACUUCAUCUUCAGACACACCAUUGGACGACCAUUUUUGAUUCCAAUCCUUAACUAUUCAAAAAAAAUAUAUAUUAAUAAAAUAAUGCUAAAGAUCCAUUGCUGGAGCACACCAUUGCAUAUGCUCUUAGUUGAAGAAUGUACUCGCUAUGAUAUGGGGACAUAUGGCUCGAUCGUGAUUACAUUCAUGACGAAAAAUUAAUUCUUCUGUCAUGAAGAAUAUUCUCGUCCAGCUAGCUUGAUAUUUUUGCUCAUUUUUUUUUUUUGAUAACUAUGGUAUCUGGGCAGCCACAGUCCCAACUAUCCCCCGUAGGGGGUCCAGCGCUCCAGCGGAAGGGAUGUUAAAUCCGCUGUGGCCGGGGCUCGAAGUCGGGCACCUCAGCCGAGGUUCUUUUACCACCAGACCACGAGGCCCGGUUAAAAACUGUUGUGGGUAAACUUUUUAUAUUGACUGACCCCACCCCGAAAGGCCCCGCAUCUAGGAAAACCCCUUAGGAUUUUUUUGGAGAGGUUUCAGUACCACCCCGCCGACAGAGUGUCGAACCCGCGACCUCUGGCAGUCGUGUGUGAGAAUCCCUUCAGUACUGCCGCUAGGCCACCUGAAGUAUCUCAAAACUGUUGUGGGUAAACUUUUUAUAGUGACUGACCCCACCCCGAAAGACCCCGCAUCCAGGAAAACCCCUUAGAAUUUUGUUGGAGAGGUUUCAGUACCACCCCGCCGACAGAGUGUCGAACCCGCGACCUCUGGCAGUCGUGUGUGAGAAUCCCUUCAGUACUGCCGCUAGGCCACCUGAAGUAUCUCCAAGUGAUUGAUUCUUAGUGAAGGGUUGAUCCUUUUGUCAUGUUUGCAUAUAUUUCUCAUUUUUGAAGUCAUGAGGAAUAAACCAAAAAUAAAAAUAAGACCGCUGGCCGUUGAUUUUUCUUGGAAAGGUUGAUGUUUGUUUUCUUCUUAUUAGUAUAAGAGAUUCAUUCUUAUUUUGAAAUUCUAUCAAAAUUAAACUAGUGUAGCAGUUAAAUUAGUUUUUUUUUAUUAAAGCUAGGAAUGUCAUAUAAAUUAAACUAGUGUAGCAGUUAAAUUAGUUUUUUUUUUCUUAAAGCUAGGAAUGUCAUAAUGUCAUAAAAUCUUGACUUUUUUAAAUUAUAAGUAAAAAAGAUAAAACAUUCAUUUACUAUCAAAUCGAAAGACUAUAAUAUAUGCAAUGCAUGGGUCUUAGUAUAUGCAAUAUGCAUGGGUCUCGUAAACAUUAGUUUGAAUCCAAAUAUAAACCUAAGCAAAUUAAGACUUCAUAAUUAACGUCUUCUUUGGUGUAGACAAUUUUUUUUUUGAAAAUUCAUGUAAUUAGUGUAGGGGACCAAUAUGUGUGGAAAUUUGACUAUCCGACACAAAGAUUUUGCCUUCGACGUGAUGAAUAUUGGAUUUAUCUCUGUGGAUAUUUUCUGUGUGGAAUAAAAACGAAGUCUAUUAUUGCGCUAUAAAGAGAUGGGCAUGGAAGCAUGUUACUCAUCACCAAUUUCCCUUUUCAUUUCAAAGUUAAAUAAGCUUAAAAGAAGAAUGAAAGGCUUUUGGAACAUAACGAGUACCUUUUCUCUUACUCUUUCUAUACUUCUCUUACUCGGCUACAGUUAUGAGGACGUGUCUGCGGUUCCAACUAGGCACUUGUGUCGUCCGGAACAAAGGGAUGCACUUCUCCAAUUCAAGACCGAGUUCGAGGUUCUAAACUCUUCCUUUUCUUCUUAUAAUUGUUAUAUCAAUGAUGAUAUACUAGUGUCUCAUCGGAAGACGGACUCAUGGGCGAAUAACAGCGACUGCUGUAAUUGGGAGGGUAUCACGUGCGAUGCCAAAUCCGGUGAAGUGAUCGAGCUAGACCUUAGUUGCAGCAACCUACGUGGCACGUUUCGUUCCAAUAGCAGUCUGCAAAACCUUCAUUCUCUAACCACCCUAAACCUUUCACUUAAUGAUUUUAGUGGUCAAAUCAUGUCUUCAAUUGGAAACCUUUCUCAUCUCACCUCUCUCGACCUUUCACUAAAUGGUUUCAGCGAGUUCAUUCCUUCUUCGAUAGUAGAUCUUUAUUAUCUCACCUCUAUCGAUCUUUCUCAAAAUCGUUUUUCGGGUCAGAUUCCAUCUGCGAUUGGAAAUCUUUCUCAUCUCACCAAUCUUGAGCUUCGUUCGAAUCAGAUUUCGGGCAAGAUUCCAUCUUCUAUUGGAAAUCUUUAUAACCUCGCUUAUCUUCGCCUUUCUGGGAACAAUAUUGUUGGAGAAAUCCCAUCUUCUUUUGGCAAUCUAAACAAGUUGACCAGCUUAGAUGUUGCUGUAAAUUGGCUCAAUGGAAGCUUUCCCAUUGCACUACUGAAUUUGACAGAGUUGUCAUCUUUGCUACUCUAUUACAAUCAGUUCACAGGAACAAUUCCUCCUAACAUCACUUCGCUAUCCAAAUUGACGACCUUUGAUGCAAGAAACAACGCUUUCACUGGGACCCUGCCUUCUUCCCUCUUAACCCUUCCUUCUAUGGAUAGUGUUGAUUUGUUUGAUAACCAACUCAACGGUAAUCUUGAACUUGGGAAUAUAUCUUCACCAUCUAAGCUACGAGAGUUAGACGUUGGCAGAAACAACUUGAGAGGGCCAAUCCCGGCCACGAUAUCAAAAUUUACAAACCUUGUCCGACUUGACCUUUCCCACUACAAGACACAAGGUCCGAUUGAUUUUAGUAUCUUCUCGCAUCUCAAGAGGCUGGAAGAUCUUGACCUAUCCUAUUUGAACACGACCACUACCAUUGACUUGAAUGAUAUCUUGUCAUAUUUUAAGAGACUCAGUUGGUUGGUUCUCUCAGGCAACCAUGUUUCAGCCACAAACAAGAGUCCAGUCUCAGAUCCCCCUUUGCUGCAUUAUUUGGAAUUGUCAGGCUGCGGUAUCAACGAGUUUCCAGAGUUUGUAAGAAACCAAAAUAUGUCAUUUAUAGACAUUUCCAACAAUAAAAUCAAAGGACAAGUGCCCGGCUGGUUGUGGACGAAGCUACCGAAUCUGUCUUACCUGGAUCUUUCCAACAACAAUUUCACUGGCUUCGAAAAACCAACAACAGUUUUAGUUUCAGGGCUAUAUAGCAUAACCGUGCUUGCCUCAGACAACAAUUUCACGGGAAAGAUUCCUUCUUUCAUAUGUGAUUUGCGCUCUGUAUACAUUCUUGAUUUAUCAAACAACAACUUCAGUGGUUUAAUCCCUCGUUGUCUGGGUAAUCUCAAGCUUUCUCUUUUAUACCUAAACCUUCGUCAGAAUCGUCUUCAUGGAGGUCUUCCGGAGAAUAUAUUUGAAAGCUUAAUAACGCUUGACGUCGGUCAUAACCAACUGACUGGAAAGCUUCCAAGAACUUUGAUUCAUUCCCCUUAUCUUGAAGUUCUGAACGUGGAAAGCAACUUUAUCAAUGAUACGUUUCCGUUGUGGUUGAGUUCUCUACUACAACUAAAAAUUCUUGUGUUACGCUCCAAUGCUUUCCAUGGACCGGUACAUCAAACUUCGUUCCCUGAGUUGCAAAUCAUCGACAUAUCGCACAACCACUUCAAUGGAGCUUUGCCAUCAGACUACUUUGUGAAGUGGAGUGCUAUGUCGUUACUUGGGACUGUUUCUUAUGAUCAGCGGGAUGAUAUGUACAUGGGAUAUUACUAUUACCAUGAUUCAAUGGUGUUGAUGAAUAAAGGUUUAGGGAUGGAAUAUCAACGUAUCCUAAAAACUUUGAGAGCACUCGACUUUUCAGGGAACAAAUUUGAAGGAGAGAUCCCAAGCUCCAUCGGUCUAUUGAAAGAGCUUCUUGUGCUCAGCUUGUCGAACAAUGCUUUCACUGGCCACAUCCCUUCAUCUAUGGGAGACCUGACAGCUCUUGAGUCAUUGGACGUUUCCCAAAACCAGCUUUCAGGAGAAAUUCCCCAAGAGCUAGGGAGCCUCUCAUUCCUUUC
rnacentral:lncRNA from 1 species